GGAACCUUUACUUCUUCUCCUUAGAGAUUCUUUGCCUGAAGCUUAUUUUAAAGGGGCAAUCCAUCCACCCUCCGUACCUUUCUGCGCAUGUGCGAAAUAGCAGGCAAGAUCGUCAGCCAUAUUAGCAAUCUUUUACCGCGUUGUUCGAAGAGAUUCUUUGAAAGUUUUUUUCAGUUCUUUUAUCUAGUUAUUUAAGCAGAUCAUAAGAUGGAUGUUUCGCAAGACGAUCACCGGAAUUCACCCGAUUCUCUUUCUCAAACAACCCAAAUCCUGGUAUCGCUGUUGUGUUUGUGGGACAACGUCUCGAAAAACACCAGACAGGAAAUUCUUCAGAUUUCCUAAGGAUCCUAUUAGCUUACAGAAUUAAAUGUACUCAUUGGUGGAAUAAUUCUGGAUUAAAGAGAUUUGUGGACAAAAUUAAAAUUAUGUAAAAUCCAAGCAUACAGCAUUUUUAGAAUUAUUAUAUGUGUAGUGAGAAGGUGGAAAAUAGGCAUUUCUUGUAAUUGCUAUUUAAAAGAAUUCAUUUCUCAUUUCAUAAUUUGAAAAAAUCUUCAUCAGG